GGGCGAUUAGCUCAGUUGGUUAGAGCGCCUGCCUUACAAGCAGGAGGUCGGCGGUUCGAGCCCGUCAUCGCCCACCA
rnacentral:tRNA from 2 species